AGAAGAAGUAAAUGCGUCAGACAGCCAUCUAAGAGAAUGUUGUUGUAUUCUCAGGACACAGAUUCAGAUUCAAGUCUACAGAAGAGUUAAGGAAAACGUCCUGCCAGAAAGAUCCAGAAAGUUGAUACAUUAGCAACAAUAACUAAGUGGUGCUCUUGUCACAGAUGCCCACAAUACGAGAGAGUGGAAGAUCGAGUUUGCUGUGGGAUGGUCCCAGAAUUAUGCUCAAGUCACAGACCUGAGAUGACUCUUUCGGUGCUGGAUAGGAUGACCCUCUACAGUCAGCAGCAGUAUCAACAAGAUGUGUUUUCCUUUUAUGCAGAGACACUAGAAGAUGUCAAUAAAUCUUUCAGACAUGCUGCAUACAGACAAUUUACCAUCUUAAUGCAUGAGAAUAACUGUCCCAGCAUGUUGUGUUAAAUUAAUAAGGGAGAAGUUUCCUAGUCCUUAAGGCCAGUAUCCAGGCUUCGUACCAGGUGAAGGCCCAGUGUUCUAAUAAUUUUGCAUAUUUAUGCCCCCCUUCGAAGAAGAGGGGGUAUAUAGUUUUGCACAUGUCGGUCCGUCCACCAGAUGGUUUCGGGAUGAUAACUCAAGAAUGCAUACGCCUAGGAUCUUGAAACUUCAUAGGUACAUUGAUCACGACUGGCAGAGGACCCCUUUAGAUUUUCCGGUCACAAGGUCAAGGUCACAGUGACUCAAAACAAUAAAAUGGUUUCCAGCUGAUAACUCAAGAAUGCUUACGCCUUUUGAUCAUGAAACUUCAUAGCUACAUUGAUAAUGACUGGCAGAUGACCCCUUUUGAUUUUCAGGUCACUAGGUCAAGGUCACAGUGACUCGAAAUAGUAAAAUGGUUUCCUGAUGAUAACUCAAGAAUAAUUAGGCCUAGGAUCAGGAAACUACAUAGGUACAUUGAUCAUGACUGACAGAUGACCCCUAUUAAUUUUCAGGUCACUAUGUCAAAGGUCAAGGUCACAGUGACAAAAAACGUAUUCACACAAUAGCUGCCACUACAACUGACAGCCCAUAUGGGGGGCAUGCAUGUUUUACAAACAGCCCGUGUUGCUAUUCUUUUUCAUUUAUCAGACAUAGAACUUUUCUUAGUUUUGAUUAUUUUUUGUUCUGGCUCCUUUUUUGAAACAUUUAUAUUUAUGCAAAUCAUUUGAGUUAUGCUUAAUCAUUUGGAUUUUUCAGUUCUAUGCAUUUUGUUUUGAAAAAUCAAUUUGUGUGAAAUGUGCUAGUUUAUUAUUAAAACUUGCACAGCAGUUUUUACAUUUGUAUGCUUACUUUGGUGUCAUUUGAAUGAAAUGCCACGAGUACUCUGGAUUGUAAGAUGAAAGAAAUAAAAGAAGCAAUGACAUAUUUCUUAAGAAUACUAUGUAAAUAAACUAAUUGAAAAUCAAAAUUCAUUUCUUGUAUACUUAUUUUAUUUUCUUGUUUGAACUUAAUAGUUUGAUUUUUACACUUUUUAGCUCACCUGAACACAAUGUGCUCAUGGUGAGCUUUUGUGAUCGCCUUUUGUCCGUCGUGCGGCGUCUACAUUUGCCUUGUUAACACUCUACAGCCGUAAAAUAAAGAUUGGUCUCAAUGAUAUUUUGGAUGAGUUCAAAAAUGGUAACGUUUGCUUGAAAAGACCGUUCAUAAAAAAAAACAGUCAAUAGUGUAUUACCUGUUUUUAUUUUUUAUAUCUUUUGCUUUUAUUCAAUUUUAAGUUUGCAUUUUGAUUUUUUUAUUAUGCCCCCCUUCGAAGAAGAGGAGGUAUGUUGUUCGCUCAUGUCGGUCAGUCCGUCCACCGAAUGGUUUCCGGAUUAUAACUCAAGAACACUUACGCCUAGGAUCAUGAAACUUCAUAGGUACAUUGAUCAUGACUGGCAGAUGACCCCUAUUGAUUUUUAGGUCACUAGGUCAAAGGUCAAGGUUACGGUGACUCGCACAGAAAAAUGGUUUCCAGCUGAUAACUCAAGAACGCUUAAGCCUAGGAUCAUGAAACUUCAUAGGUACAUUGAUCAUGACUCGCAGAUGACCCCUAUUGAUUUUCAGGUCACUAGGUCAAAGGUCAAGGUGACUCGACACAGUAAAAUAGUUUCCGGAUGAUAACUCAAGAAAGCUUACGCCUAGGAUCAUGAAACUUCAUAAGUUCAUUGAUCACGACUCGCAGAUGACCCCUAUUGAUUUUCAGGUGACUAGGUCAAAGGUCAAUGUCACA